ACCAUUAAAAAAUAUGACUUGGUUUCUAACGAUACAAAGAUUAAUGAAAAUGGGUGAAAUGUACAUUUAAACAUGUUCAAUAAAAGGAUAAUAGAACGGGGAAAGGUUACCUCCCCUUUCUCUGCUUUGCCCGCCCACAAUUUGUCCCGACCGCCCAUGAGAAAAGGAGCUACGACCGCGUGGGCUCAGCACACACACAGUUCUUUCCUGGAGAGACAUCAUAUAUUGCAAGCAUGGCAGUUGCUCAAUGUUGGGAUGUACAAAUUAUCACAAAACUCUAUGUUUAGUUCCUCCAUCCGAGACUAUUUUCUCUGGAAACGCGCCAAACAUUUCGCCGACUUCCUCAACUUGGUCCAAUACAAAGCUGGACUUGCUGGACGUCUGGAAAUGGAGUCCGGGUAAGUACCAACACUCCUCGGCUCAGCUACAAACCUCGAACAAGCCAGCACAUCAAGUGUUUACAUUCAGCUGCUUCUCUCAAUGGAUGUUGCCUGCCAUACAGACUACCUGGAAACACACACUGUAGCCACACGGCUAUCCUUAAAGACUUUGCUGCCCCAUUUUACAAGUGAAGAAUUUAGAGACCGUAGCCCGCAGCGCGGCGGCACCUCAGAGAGUCUGCGUGUGGACGCCCCUGGCUCCUCCCACAUGUCCAGUCACAGCGGGGAGCUGCGGAUCCUGAGCGUCUACGGAAAAGGGGAGGGCCCACUGGCUGUGGACGGCCAUGACACCCUCUUCACCGCGUCCGAAGUGGAGG